rnacentral:misc_RNA from 1 species
UUGAUUGAUUUUGUUUGUUUUCUCAGACGUCAAAAUAAGCAGCGUGUAAAACUCCGGCGGGCGCUCGCCCACUGACGUCGACGGCGGCCGAAGCCGACGUCCCGCCGAAGCAACAGGAAGGGUAAACAAAGGGUGGGAGAGCGGCCGCUCGUGAGCGACCGAAACUCGGUAAUGAUCCUUCCGCAGGUUCACCUACGGAAA